rnacentral:rRNA from 1 species
GACGAACGCUGGCGGCGUGCCUAAUACAUGCAAGUUGAGCGAUGAAGCUUGGUGCUUGCACCAAUUUGAAGAGCAGCGAACGGGUGAGUAACGCGUGGGGAAUCUGCCUUUGAGCGGGGGACAACAUUUGGAAACGAAUGCUAAUACCGCAUAACAACUUUAAACAUAAGUUUUAAGUUUGAAAGAUGCAAUUGCAUCACUCAAAGAUGAUCCCGCGUUGUAUUAGCUAGUUGGUGAGGUAAAGGCUCACCAAGGCGAUGAUACAUAGCCGACCUGAGAGGGUGAUCGGCCACAUUGGGACUGAGACACGGCCCAAACUCCUACGGGAGGCAGCAGUAGGGAAUCUUCGGCAAUGGACGAAAGUCUGGCCGAGCAACGCCGCGUGAGUGAAGAAGGUUUACGGAUCGUAAAACUCUGUUGGUAGAGAAGAACGUUGGUGAGAGUGGAAAGCUCAUCAAGUGACGGUAACUACCCAGAAAGGGACGGCUAACUACGUG